rnacentral:rRNA from 1 species
CCUACGGGUGGCAGCAGUGAGGAAUAUUGGUCAAUGGGCGGGAGCCUGAACCAGCCAAGUCGCGUGAGGGACGACGGUCCUAUGGAUUGUAAACCUCUUUUGUCGGGGAACAAAGGCGUCCACGGGUGGGCGGAUGAGUGUACCCGAAGAAAAAGCAUCGGCUAACUCCGUGCCAGCAGCCGCGGUAAUACGGAGGAUGCGAGCGUUAUCCGGAUUUAUUGGGUGUAAAGAGUUCGUAGGCGGCUUGUAAAGUCAGGUGUGAAAGGCGGUGGCUCAACCUGUGUAUGGCACUUGAUACUUGCAAGCUUGAAUGCGGUAGAGGUAAAGGGAAUUCGUGGUGUAGCGGUGAAAUGCUUAGAUAUCAGGAGGAACACCGGUGGCGUAAGCGCUUUACUGGGCCGUAAUUGACGUUGAGGAACGAAAGCCAGGGUAGCAAAUGGGAUUAGAUACCCUUGUAGUC